rnacentral:lncRNA from 1 species
CAACUUAUGAUUCAACUCAAUUUAAAAAUUCAACAAGUUCACCAUUUGAAACAAAACUUCAUUCACAACACAAUCAACUUUUCCAUUCAAGUGUAAGUUUACAUGCAAAGGACAUUAAACCUUCAAGCUAAAUGCAUUUCAUUUCGUCUUGAAUCUCACCAAUCUAAUUUCUAACUGACUAACUAAACAACUGUAACUAACUUAUCCAUUCACAACCGAUUUCGAAUUUCAGAUGAAUUUCAUUAUGAAUUUGAGUGGAAUUUCUAACAAGCUUUUGGUUUUAUUUAAACGCAUCUGCACUGUGAUUUGAGGGGGAUUCUUCAUUUCUGCAUUUUCUCUUCUUCAUUUUGCAUCGAAUCUUCUUCAUUAUGCAUCUAGCUUUCUUCAUCCUGCAACUGAGUUCUUCAUCCUGCAUCCAAUAUUCUUCAUUCCGCAACUGAGUUUCUUUCUCCGUAACUGAGUUUUCCAUUCUACAAUCGGAGAUUCCCAUUCUGCAGUUUGAGUUUUCGACAGGGCAACUCGAUAUUUUCUUCCUUCAACCUAAGAGUGCCGUAUUAUGCCUAACAAACUCAGAAGUAAGAAGAAGUAUAACAGAAAGUGGAAAGGAAGCAAAUACUUCGGUACUCACGCGGAGAUUGUUGUGCUUUCGAUUCCCAGGCAAAUAACUAAGGCAAAUCACGACUUUGAAGGUUAGUUAAG